UGAUAUUAAAAAUAAAUUUUUAAAAAUAAAAAAAAUAUUUCAAUCUAUUUCCAAGCAAAAAACACUUUGAAAAACAACCUCU